rnacentral:lncRNA from 1 species
ACCUUUAUAUUAAUAGAAUAAGCAACCUCACAAAAUGUCAUUUCUUCCCUUAUCAUUGGCAAACGAGACACAUUUUAUUCAAAAAGAGAAUUAGAUUAAAAACAUUAUCGCACUUAAAAUCAGUUCAAUACAUUUUAGCUAUGCACAUAGCCCAAGAUCUAUCCUGCAAAUAACUUCAGGAGAGAAUGAGAUAAAUCAGAUAAUCAAAUAAGUGAUAGUUUUCAUUAACUUGGUGAAGGGGAUAAUGAGAGAUAAACCAGAACGAGUUCCAUUAACUUCAGAAAUCGGUUCUAAUCAGGGAGAAUGAGAGAUAAACCAGAAAAGACGUGUUUACUUGGUAAAGGGAUAUUUAUACAGAAUCUGACAGAACCCCGCGAGAUAGAUACAGUGUAGAUCCUUCUAUGCUCAAUUUUUUUGUACAAAAGGGAAGCGACCCAAAUAGAUGAACAUAUACAUCAGGAGUUGAAGCGGCU